rnacentral:rRNA from 16 species
CAAAAAGUGUUUUUUAAAAAAGGCAGAAAAUUCAAAACAAAAAAAAUGAAUAAAAUUUAAAAACAAAAAAAGAAACAAAAUG